rnacentral:snoRNA from 1 species
AUGUCUGGGAUAAAGAAAACAUUGGGCCAUUGUAAAUUGAGAUGGAAUAAUGGUUUCAUCUCUUCUGCAUGAUCUAGACAUUG